rnacentral:lncRNA from 1 species
GCUGAAUCUGCACUCCCAAUUCCCCUGCUCCCCUGAGUUCUGUCCAGGAAACUUUGCAUUCAGUCAAAAUUGUUACAAAGUUCAGCUGGAAGUUUCCUCCUCCCUCUGGUCUUUCCUCAGUUCCUCUGGCAGCCUUCCCCUAAGGACCUCUGCAAGACAAAGUCAGAAAUGGCUUUCCCGAGGAUUUAGAGAGCCCACAGGGCUCUUCCUACUGCUUCUUCUACCCCUGUUUUUCAUUCAGCUCUCUAAACUUGUCUCAGCUCCAGGGUCUCACUCUAUCCAGGC